UACGUAGGGUGCAAGCGUUAAUCGGAAUUACUGGGCGUAAAGCGUGCGCAGGCGGUUUUGUAAGUCUGUCGUGAAAGCCCCGGGCUCAACCUGGGAAUUGCGAUGGAGACUGCAGGGCUUGAAUCUGGCAGAGGGGGGUAGAAUUCCACGUGGUAGCAGUGAAAUGCGUAGAGAUGUGGAGGAACACCGGAUGGCGGAAGGCGCCCCCUGGGUCAAGAUUGACGCUCAUGCACGAA
rnacentral:rRNA from 1 species